rnacentral:rRNA from 1 species
AGUGAACGCUGGCGGUAGGCCUAACACAUGCAAGUCGAACGGCAGCACAGGAGAGCUUGCUCUCUGGGUGGCGAGUGGCGGACGGGUGAGGAAUACAUCGGAAUCUACCUUUUCGUGGGGGAUAACGUAGGGAAACUUACGCUAAUACCGCAUGCGCCCUUCGGGGGAAAGCCGGGGACCUUCGGGCCUGGCGCGAUUGGAUGAGCCCACGUCGGAUUAGCUAGUUGGCGGGGUAAAGGCCCACCAAGGCGACGAUCCGUAGCUGGUCUGAGAGGAUGAUCAGCCACACUGGAACUGAGACACGGUCCAGACUCCUACGGGAGGCAGCAGUAGGGAAUAUUGGACAAUGGGCGCAAGCCUGAUCCAGCCAUGCCGCGUGAGUGAAGAAGGCCCUCGGGUUGUAAAGCUCUUUUGUCCGGAAAGAAAAGCGCCGGGUUAAUACCCUGGUGUCCUGACGGUACCGGAAGAAUAAGCACCGGCUAACUUCGUGCCAGCCGCCGCCGUAACAC